rnacentral:rRNA from 1 species
AGACGUAGGGGGCGAACGUUAUUCGGAAUCACUGGGCUUAAAGAGUGCGUAGGCGGCUUGGUAAGUUGGAUGUGAAAUCCCUCGGCUCAACCGGGGAACUGCGUUCAAUACUGCCAAGCUUGAGGGAGAUAGGGGUGAGCGGAACUAAUGGUGGAGCGGUGAAAUGCGUUGAUAUCAUUAGGAACACCGGAGGCGAAAGCGGCUCACUGGGUCUCUUCUGACGCUGAGGCACGAAAGCUAGGGGAGCGAACGGGAUUAGAAACCCCAGUAGUCC